rnacentral:rRNA from 1 species
UACAGAGGGGGCAAGCGUUGUUCGGAAUUACUGGGCGUAAAGGGCGCGUAUGCGGCCUGCUAAGUCGAACGUGAAAUCCCCGGGCUCAACCCGGGAACUGCGUCCGAUACUGGCUGGCUUGAAUCCGGGAGAGGGAUGCGGAAUUCCAGGUGUAGCGGUGAAAUGCGUAGAUAUCUGGAGGAACACCGGUGGCGAAGGCGGCAUCCUGGACCAAUACUGACGCUGAGGAGCGAAAGCCAGGGGAGCAAACGGG